ACCUAUUAUUAUAGUACAGGUACAUCUUAUUAUCUAUAUCUAGUCGAUCAUAUUUUUUUUAUAAAAAAAUACAAUAAAAAUAUUUUUAAAAAAUUAUAAUGAAAUUUAAUAAAUUUUAAAAAUAUAAUUUAAUUGACUGAAGACACCAUAUCAGUAAUGCAAGUGUAAAAAAUUUAAUGGUUCCGACUUUUUGGUCCUUGGAUCAGUUUUUUGACUAUUUAUAAUCUUUCGAUUAAUAUUAUUAUCUUAUGGAGACUAUUCAAUCCUAGGAGAGACCACUAUCAUUUCAACCGUACAAUUCUUGAUUCGAGAGUUAAAAAAUUAUAAACACUAAUUUUUUUAUACUUCCUACAGUAUAAUAACUCUACGCCAGCAAUAAGACUAUCACAUUCUUUUUUCUUUUCUUUUUU
rnacentral:lncRNA from 1 species